rnacentral:rRNA from 1 species
GGGCCCGCACAAGCGGUGGAGCAUGUGGUUUAAUUCGAUGCAACGCGAAGAACCUUACCUACUCUUGACAUCCAUAGAACUUUUCAGAGAUGAAUUGGUGCCUUCGGGAACUAUGAGACAGGUGCUGCAUGGCUGUCGUCAGCUCGUGUUGUGAAAUGUUGGGUUAAGUCCCGCAACGAGCGCAACCCUUAUCCUUGUUUGCCAGCACUUCGGGUGGGAACUCCAGGGAGACUGCCGGUGAUAAACCGGAGGAAGGUGGGGACGACGUCAAGUCAUCAUGGCCCUUACGAGUAGGGCUACACACGUGCUACAAUGGCGCAUACAGAGGGCGGCCAACUUGCGAAAGUGAGCGAAUCCCAAAAAGUGCGUCGUAGUCCGGAUUGGAGUCUGCAACUCGACUCCAUGAAGUCGGAAUCGCUAGUAAUCG